rnacentral:misc_RNA from 1 species
GAUGAAGAACGUAGCGAAAUGCGAUAAGUAAUGUGAAUUGCAGAAUUCAGUGAAUCAUCGAAUCUUUGAACGCACAUUGCGCCCGCCAGCAUUCUGGCGGGCAUGCCUGUUCGAGCGUCAUUUCGACCCUCAAGCUCUGCUUGGUGUUGGGGCCCUACGGUUGACGUAGGCCCUUAAAGGUAGUGGCGGACCCUCUCGGAGCCUCCUUUGCGUAGUAACUAACGUCUCGCAUUGGGAUUCGGAGGGACUCUUGCCGUAAAACCCCCAAAUUUUCUAAUGGUUGACCUCGGAUCAGGUAGGAAUACCCGCUGAACUUAAGCAUAUCAAUAAGCGGAGGA